ACGUGCUGCGGGCGGCGAUCAGAGGGUGCCCGCAGCGAGGACAGAACACGUGCCACGGGGAACAUCGGGGCACUUCAGGGCGUU
rnacentral:sRNA from 1 species